CACCGCGGUUAUACGAGCGGCCCAAGCUGAUAGUCCUCGGCAGAAAGCGUGGUUAAGGAAUAAUAUAAACUAAAGCCGAAUGCCCUCAGAGCUGUUAUAAGCAUCCGAGAGUUCGAAGCCCCAUCACGAAAAUGGCUUUACCCCCUCCCCCCUGACCCCACGAAAGCUACGCAA
rnacentral:rRNA from 1 species